GAGCAGCAUGAAUCACCAGGGCCCCGAGUCACGGGGACAACUGUUUGCAUUUUUCCUGGGAGGCUGAGCUAUUUUGCUGACUCGGUGACAAAUUCCUUAAAGGGAGGACUGAGGAGUCAAUGGGCUACCAGGCUCAGGGACAAAAAGAAGAGGUCUCACUCGGGACCUGAGCCAAGAGCACAGCAUCAGCCAGAGAACUGCUCCUCUCCUGAUUCUACCUCCGAGGCACCUGCGUCAGAGGCCUGACCUGUGGCCAGGACUUUUCACAGCAGUGAAGAAAUUUCAGCUUGAAGGUUAAGAUGGCUACUGGGGAAAUACAUUUAUCUAUUGACGCAGAAUCUGACUACGCUGAGCUGGUUUUAGAUGCAAAAAAAGUUACCCUUGGAGAGAAGGCUAGAAGCAACAUGAAUGAUCAUACACUGAAAAAACAACAGAAAAACACUAUCUUACGAGCUACAUCUGCUCUACUGAAGUGUGCAGGGGGAAUAAUCAAGAUGGAGAUUGAAAAUGAAGACUAUAGGUAUUCAGAAUGUGGAAUAGGACACGAUUUGGAAGAACGUUUUGAACAUAUGGUGCCAGAUGUUGAAAACUACUUUAAUUUCAUGCAGAAAGAAAACAACUUUUUCAUAUUUGUGAAGUCAGGUAUACAUGAUCAGCGAUAUGGAACCUUGAGCACCAAUAUGUACAGAAGGAAUUUGUCGCGUACAGAUGAAAUGAGUGAGGAUUCUGCCCUGAUGUUCCUCAAGGAACUGAAGAAAACUGAAGGGAGGUCAUAUUCAACACUGACGAUGCCUGCUGACAGAGAUUUUGUUGAUGAUAGAGACAGCAAAGACUUAGCUGCUAAAUUUUUUAACAGUGAACUACUUACAUACCAAGGAAAAAUUCCUUUUGGUGAAUCCACUCAUGUUGAAUAUGAAAAGACGCAAACAAUAAUUGGCUUGAAAAAAGGCAUGAAUAACCUCCCAGAGAUAAAAAGAAAAAUAGAAGAGGACAUUCCAAAACUGCCUGUCUAUCACUGCUGCAAGGAGAAGAAGAAGAUAAAUUACACAUGCAAAUCCAUCGAAGUUCACAACAAGGAAGGUCUUUAUGGCUAUGUUCUCGCAAUCAGAAUAGAGAGAUUCUGCUGUGCUGUGUUUGCUAAAGAACCCGAUAGCUGGCAUGUGAAAGAUAACCGCGUGGUGCAGAUGACUUCCACGGAAUGGGUGGAGUUCAUGAUGGAAGGUGAAUCUGGUUAA
rnacentral:lncRNA from 1 species